rnacentral:rRNA from 1 species
UACGGAGGGGGCUAGCGUUGUUCGGAAUUACUGGGCGUAAAGCGCGCGUAGGCGGACCUGCAAGUCGGGGGUGAAAGCCCGAGGCUCAGCCUCGGAACUGCCUUCGAUACUGCGGGUCUCGAGUCCGGGAGAGGUGAGUGGAAUUCCUAGUGUAGAGGUGAAAUUCGUAGAUAUCGGGAGGAACACCAGUGGCGAAGGCGGCGACCUGGGCCAAUAUUGACGCUGAGGUGCGAAAGCGUGGGGAGCAAACAGG